AAUACAGCUCUAGAGCUACAGAAAUGGUGAUUUGAUGUGUUUGCUGUAGACUGUAGUUCCAGCAGAAGUCAUGGAGCAGCCAGUGGGUGGCGCUGUUCGAAUCUCGCUCUGAAAGUGUUCAUGGACGUGUGUUAGGAGUCGUGCAGAGACUCACCUGCUUGAUCUUCCAGUCUUGUGAAGAUGACUUGACGAAUGAGCCAGAAAUAAUAUCAACUGCACUUUUAAAGAGCGUCAGAUCUCUGUGGCCUUCAGGACGAGAGAAAAUCACAGGACAGAAACGCGCACUGAUGGAGCCGUAGAGAACCGUAUUCACAGAAGCUCUCCAGGCAGGACGUUAUUCCUGAAUCCCCUUGAUUAUGAGGCGGAGGGAUUUGUUCCUGUUUCUCAGUGACUCAGAGACCAGAGUUCAUCUCCGUCUGGGUGAAAUGAAGUGUGAUUUUCAUACAAGCGCUGUUUAAUAAUUACUGGACAAGAAAACAAAGCAUCGACUCUAACAAGCCUGUAAUUUUUCUCCUUCGAAGCUGAUUUCUGAAGAGCUGUUGUGUCACACAUUGUCUGUGCGUGUUUCGCCGUAUCAGAACAAAACACAUCAUCGAGUCUCGAAUCCCCGCAUGAGUUUGCCAGGCUUUUAUUUGUGCGGCAGCGAUUGACAGGCCGUCUUCAGGACUUGGCAGCGAUGCUCGGGCGAGGAGGAGGCGACUCGAGGCGUUUUCCCAUCACACCUUUACAUUAGAUGACAGGCAAAAAAGCCUGUCAGAUUGCAACCCUCCCACAUGAAGCAAAAAGUGCUGAAUUAAAGCAGUGUUGAGACGGGGGGCAUUGACGGACGGGGCUCGCCGUCUCUCUCUCUCAUCCCCAAAUCAAUCUGAUCUGAUGCUGAGAUGGGUUUGCAGCUCACUAUUGAAUCCAGAGGUCAGCGCCGGUCCAGUGGAUAAGUCCCUUAUCAUAUCUGCCCAAGGACUUCACUGUGACCUUCACACACACUCACACAAGAGCAGAUGGCUUUAAACUCCACUGUAUGUCAGACUCUGUGCCUCCUGUGUGUUUUGUUGGACAGUGAAAUCCUCUGGCUGUCAGUUUUGUGUUGUGAAAGCGUAUUCAGCAUGUGUUGCAUUGCAAUGGACUGCAUCAGAGUUAUUCUGAGGAUCGGGUGUGUUUCAAAUAUUUAUCAAGAUACUGAAUCAGGGUUAUUAUAGUAGCCUAAAACUAAAACCUUAACUUAAAACUUCAAAUAAUAAUAAAU